AUAAUGUUUUAAUUACUUUUUGUGAAAAAAGAUUGUGUAAAUAUAGGGUUAUGGGUUUAUAGCGCGAAAGGACACAGACUGUCCGUCUGUCCGCAUUAAAUUUUAUGGUUUCCACAUUAACAAACUUCAUUAGAACACUGUUUACUUAGGUCAAUAAAGCCUACAACUGCGGGUUGUUCGUGCGUUGCAGGGUCCGAUCUUGAAUCUGUCACCAGGCAACAUGUGCCAGUUUGCAAGGAUGUCGAGAGGGCAGGUGGCAAGGCAUAUUCGCAGGCUGAUGACCCAGAGGAGGCAUCACGGCAGAAGAUACUCCGGAAGACGAUGCUGCUUUCUGUGGCAUACGCUGCGAAUAUUGGAGGAAUUGGAUCUCUCAUUGGCACGGGGUCUAACCUUAUACUCAAGGGUCUCAUGGAUCACAACUUUCCGGAGUCUACAGAGCUGAGCUUUGCAACGUGGAUGAUUUGCAACGUGCCAACCAUGCUGAUUUGCGUUAUCAUCGGGUGGAUUUACCUCCAAUUUUUCGCAAGGAAAGCAAUGAAAGGAGCCUCCUCAGGUGCAUCGGAAAAAAACAUUCGUAAGGAGAUUUCGAGGAGAUACCGGGACCUGGGUCCUAUCAGGCAAGU